rnacentral:sRNA from 2 species
ACAUGGUCGGCACGUACUCAGGCGGAACAGUGGUUUUUGUGCUAUUCCGCUAGCUUCGAUGUGGAUGAGGCGGGGAGCGGUGCCGGAAGUCAAGUCUCUUGGUCUGGUGAGGAGUUUAUGGCUCCUGGCCUCUCCCACGCGGUUGGGAACUAAUGACGAAAUCGCCCCUAAGGGCCUGAUUUUCUCCACUACUUUAUAUCAAAAGUAAGUGGGACGCCAGUUGGUUGGGUUAUCUGAAUGACGCCAUUUAGUUAAUUGUUGAUUGGGCUGAUAUUCUUAACUGGGCCCCUGGACAAAUCAACAGAGAUAUGUGAAAAGAUUGAGGCUGCUUCCAACUCCCAAAGUUCCGAGCUGACUGUUCCGCUCUUCUUCGGAAGCUAGUGGAGACUCGAGGUUAAUGAGGGAAAGCAAUGGCUCUCUCCUUGUCCUACUUCCUGUCUCCAUAAAAUGUCUCUUGUGGAAAAGUUUUCCUCCGCCCCCAAGGGCAGACAGACACUCACCGAUAGCGGAGGAGUCACCCCCGCGGAAAAUGGGAAAGGCAGGAGAGAUCCGAUAUCUUUUUUGACCUCUUAUUCUCUUUUUUUGCUUUUUUUUUCAAGAAUCGACAAUGGACGAAUGUGAAACAUGGAUCUGAGCACGCCUUCGAGAUGCCAAACUGCCAAGGAGGGAGGUCCAGGCUAGGCUGACAGGCAAAACGCACAGAUGUGGAACGUAAUUGGAAACGCGGAAGCGCUAUGGGACACUCCCGGUGACUAGGGUGUCUGUGUGGGGAUUGGCUGCAAAGCAUAGAAAAAGAAAAGACAAACUGCGGAUGUUUGGGCGGACCUACGAUGUAAUUUCCCCACCCAAUGUAUCUAUGGACUAUGAGCAGAGGGCGAUCAUUGAUUUCGAAUGGCCUUGGGAUAUCUGAUUCUCAAUUUUAUCUCAGUUGAUCAGAGUAAAAUCCUGUGCCGUGUACCCGCGUAUGCUAUUGACGUCAGUAAAACAAAAUGAGUUCCUCCAAAAGAGGACUCCCAACAACUCACUGGCGAGAAAACGAGUCAGCUCAACCCCUUCUACAGAAAUCGUUGGAGAAAUCGUGGUUACACUGCUAGACUAAUGAAGCAGCAACUAAAGUCCGGGCCCUCAAGUCUCGACGCAACUGAGUGAAAUGAAAGGAUGUCUGCAGCAGCCAAACCAU